AACGAACGCUGGUGGCAUGCCUAACACAUGCAAGUCGAACGAGACCUUCGGGACAGGUUGCGCACGGGUGCGUAACGCGUGGGAACCUGCCCUUAGACUCGGGAUAACUCUCCUACAGGGGUGCUAAUACCGGGUAAUUUCUGCUGACCAAAGAUUUAUCCCGCUUGUAUGAGCCCGCGUUCUUUGGGCUAUGUGCUAGUGUAAGAGCCUACCACGGCUACGCUCCAUAGCUGGGUUGAGAGGAUGAUCAGCCACACUGGGAGUGAGAAACGGCCCAGACUCCUACGGGAGGCAGCAGUGGGGAAUAUUGGAAAAUGGGCGGAAGCAUGAUCCAGCAAUGGCGCGUGAGUGAUGAAGGCCUUAGGGUUGUAAAGCUCUUUUACCCGCGAUGAUAAUGACAGUACCGGGAGAAUAAGCACCGGCUAACUCCGUG
rnacentral:rRNA from 1 species